rnacentral:pre_miRNA from 1 species
GAAGAAGACGGCCUGAAAAUCCAACAGGGGUAAUACUGGGAACACAUGCCCUGAGACAUCUCCACGUUAUCUCCAUAAUCUUUUUAAAUUUUGAAACCCUCUGCUUCCAUAUCUUUCACUUUGCACUUGUCAAUGGCGGAUGCUGUGGGUGCGUGUUCUCAGGUCACCCCUGUAGGAAAAUCUGCUGUUCGUUC